rnacentral:rRNA from 1 species
AGCAGCCGCGGUAAUUCCAGCUCCAAUAGCGUAUAUUAAAGUUGUUGCAGUUAAAAAGCUCGUAGUUGAACUUCGGGGUUUACCCAUUGGUCAGGCUUAAUUGUCUGUACUGGUGAGAUAAAUCUCUACCUUCUGAGGAACUUUCAUGCCAUUUAUUUGGUGUGAUUGGAAAUCAGGACUAUUACUUUGAAAAAAUUAGAGUGUUUAAAGCAGGCUAACGUCUGAAUAUAUUAGCAUGGAAUAAUGAAAUAGGACGGCUUGGUUCUAUUUCGUUGGUUUCUAGGAUCACCGUAAUGAUUAAUAGGGAUAGUUGGGGGCAUUAGUAUUCAAUUGUCAGAGGUGAAAUUCUUGGAUUUAUUGAAGACUAACUACUGCGAAAGCAUUUGCCAAGGAUGUUUUCAUUAAUCAAGAACGAAAGUUAGGGGAUCGAAGACGAUCAGAUACCGUCGU